UUUCAAACUACAACUGUCUCAGCUUCUAUGACAGGGAACUUGGCCGUGAAGAUCCCCUCCUGGUUGGGUAGGGUACUCACACAGGAGAGGCUAACGAGGAUGGCCACAACCCUCCUACACCUCCCUUCAGCAAAGAGCGUCGGCUAGUCUCUGGGAGACAGCGCUGCUUACUCUGAUUGCAUCCAGUGAGAUGAUCAGACUGUAAGUAGCCCACACGGAAAGGAAAGGGGAAGGGAAGAUGGCUACACAUGCUCCUAGACCCAGGUAGCUUCCUCACCGGACGAUGCCAGGCCGAGUCAGCCCACCAUGGGUCGGAUCUCCUAAAGAUCCACUACCACAGGAGUGAUCUAAAAAAGUAAAAAACAAAAAACUACCCUGACAAAACACCCACUUUUUCAAGCUAAUAAUAGCUGUGUGUAUGUCAAAGCCACCACAUUGCAAAAUAUACACAUUAAUCUUACCACUGCUGCAGACAAUCAUAUAAUUUAUUGGCCUGCAAAUAAAAUGUUGCAAGUAGCUCUUAGGUUUCAGGUAUCAUUUAAUUAAAUUAAAGUAAUGCCUAAUCAAUUUCAAAAUUUGCUUUCAUUGUUACCAACGGUUCAAAAAAUCUCUAAAUUACAAAAACAAAUUCACAUACUUCAAAAUAUAUAUCAAGCUAAAAAAAAUGCCUUUCAUACAGCUUAUAAAGUAUCUACUUUAUGUACUAAGUAUAAUGUAUUAUGCUUUGUAACCAAAAUUGUACAACAACCUCAUCAUAUGCUUGCUCUAAGUAUAUUAUUGCUUGCAUUGCUGUUAGUUAGUUUAAAAUUAUGUUGUUGUUGUAAAAAAUAUAAUAAUAGUAAUACCUUUCAUGUCCAUGCUAAUCUUGCAUUGUCAUUUCAUCCAAUAAAAACCCCUACGGUUAAAACAU